rnacentral:rRNA from 1 species
UUUUGCGCAAUGGGCGAAAGCCUGACGCAGCAACGCCGCGUGAACGAUUAAGCCCUUCGGGGUGUAAAGUUCUGUCAGUAGGGACGAAACUUGACGGUACCUACAGAGGAAGCACCGGCUAACUUCGUGCCAGCAGCCGCGGUAAUACGGAGGGUGCAAGCGUUGUCCGGAAUCAUUGGGCGUAAAGAGUUCGUAGGUGGCAUAUUAAGUCUGGUGUUAAAUGCAGAAGCUCAACUUCUGUUCGGCACUGGAUACUGGUAAGCUUGAAUGCGGUAGAGGUAAAGGGAAUUCCUGGUGUAGCGGUGAAAUGCGUAGAUAUCAGGAGGAACAUUGGUGGCGUAAGCGCUUUACUGGGCCGUAAUUGACACUGAGGAACGAAAGCCGGGGUAGCAAAUGGG